rnacentral:misc_RNA from 1 species
ACAAACUUGGUCAUUUAGAGGAAGUAAAAGUCGUAACAAGGUUUCCGUAGGUGAACCUGCGGAAGGAUCAUUACCGAGUUAGGGUCGCCUCCGCGCGCCCGACCUCCAACCCUUUGUCUACCCGACCUUUUUGUUGCUUCGGCAGGCCCGCCGCCCCUCGUGGGUGGCCGCCGGGGGCUUCACCGCCCCGGGCCCGCGCCUGUCGAUGGCCCCAACCACAAACUCUUGUACCUAAACGUGUCGUCUGAGUUAACAAACAAAAUAAAACAAAACUUUCAACAACGGAUCUCUUGGUUCUGGCAUCAAUGAAGAACGCAGC